AUUGAACGCUGGCGGCAGGCCUAACACAUGCAAGUCGAACGAGUGGCGGACGGGUGAGUAAUGUCUUGGAAACUGCCUGAUGGAGGGGGAUAACUACUGGAAACGGUAGCUAAUACCGCAUACCAUCAGAUGUGCCCAGAUGGGAUUAGCUUGUUGGUGGGGUAACGGCUCACCAAGGCGACGAUCCCUAGCUGGUCUGAGAGGAUGACCAGCCACACUGGAAAUGAGACACGGUCCAGACUCCUACGGGAGGCAGCAGUAGGGAAUAUUGCACAAUGGGCGAAAGCCUGAUGCAGCCAUGCCGCGUGUAUGAAGAAGGCCUUCGGAGUGUAAAGUACUGUCGGCGGGGAGGCGUUACCCACAGAAGAAGCACCGGCUAACUCCGUGCCAGCAGCCGCGGUAAUUC
rnacentral:rRNA from 1 species